UACGUAGGUGGCAAGCGUUGUCCGGAUUUACUGGGCGUAAAGAGCGCGCAGGCGGUCGUGCAAGUCGCGUGUGAAAGCCCCCGGCUCAACCGUAGAGGGUCAUUGGAAACUGGGGGACUUGAGUGCAGAAGAGAAGAGUGGAAUUCCACGUGUAGCGGUGAAAUGCGUAGAGAUGUGGAGGAACACCAGUGGCGAAGGCGACUCUUUGGUCUGUAACUGACGCUGAGGCGCGAAAGCGUGGAGAGCAAACAGG
rnacentral:rRNA from 1 species